UUACAGAGAAUAGAUGGGACACCUCUUAACCCCCACCACAAUUGAUGUUUUUAGUGAGGAUCGCAACCGCUUGGUGGCGCUACAUUCGCAGUUAGUUUAUUGUUCAGCCGCUAGGCCCGCUAGGUGCGAUUCAAGCAUGGCUUCAGUUCAGAAGUUGAGAGGUAUUAGUGAUUUGUAAGCUAAUUUAUACCUUUUAAAAAUGAUAAAACUGAACAAUUGUUGUGUACCUGGAUGUAU